CUGCAGUCUUGUACCGUCUUUGUGUGUCUGGGUGUUUCUUUCUGUGUUCAUCCCCCGUUCUGCAAUCGGGCCGCAACAAGUGGUGCAGCGAGCAGGGUCUGUGUCAUUCAGGACGGAGGGACCGAAGAGGCACCUUUUUGGCCAUCGGGGUGAAAGUGAAGGAAAGUACUUUGAAACAAUUAUUUGCUCUGGUGCAGCAACAUUGUUAUUGGUUUCGAUGUCAGUCAGAAGUGCAACUAAAUCUUUAUACCUGGCAGCAAGUAAUUAAGGCCUUUCGCGUCGCCCACCAGCAAGGUCAGACUAUUGACUUAAAAAAUUUGGACCAUCUGCAGCGUGAUCACUCAGGCAUUACGUUUGUUGCAGACAGAAUCAGAAAAGGCUUAUGCGGGUGAAGAACCUGAAAAGGAGCCCUUGCCAUCCCGGGCCCCUUCCCCCGAAGAGUUCGGGGAUGGGGAGGAGCUACCAGAUUAAGGAUCCUCCUGAUGAACUGCCCACUCGUGCAGAUAUAUGAGAAUUAAUUUCUUUGCUUAAGAAGAAUAAGGUGACUCCCCCUCACACUGCAGGCGCUCAAUGAGUAUUUGUUAAAUGAAUCAAAAUGGA